CGACUGCUCCUUUGUCUCGUUCUACUCCCCCCACCCUGCUUCUUGUCGUCUCUGUCCUCGCGUCCCCGAGGUGGAUCCAUGGCGGACAGCGGCGUGGCUUCGCCGCAUCCUCCUCGUCCUGCUGCUGAUGGGGUGUGUGGUGCGUGGAUGGCGUCUCCUCUUCGCCCGGCGGAGGUGGGGGCAGGUCACGCGGGACGCCUCGUCACUCUCGGUCGCUGUCUCGUGGUGGUUUGAGGCUGCAGUCGCCGCCACCGGAGAUGGGGAACGAUGUUGUCCGUGCUCUUCGCCGUGCAUCUGGGAAGAGGUCCGCGCUCUCAAGCGCGCAAGGCAAGUUCGUGGGCGGCGAGAAGGGUGCAGAUAUCACAUAGCACACAGUGGCCACUCGAGUAUGCUGCUCUAUAUUAACAGAUGCAUACCUACAAUGUCCGUCAUCAGCAGAAGAUGAGUAGUUGAAUAAAGUCCUCCCCAGCUUCUUCUUUGCAAAUCUGUUAUUCAUUUCUGAGGCAUUUUACCUGUCUGAUUUUCAUUGUUUAUUGUGGACAUGAAGUGGAUGGAAUGUGCUGUUUUACAAAAGUACUGCUGGGUAUUGUGGUGCUGAGAAUUCCUUUACUAAAGAUAUACUAUGGUAUGAGUCACAAGUACAUGCGGGUUUCCUUUCAUCAACGGUAAUUGUCCCAUGUUUUAUAAGUGGUAGGUCGAACUAUAUUUACUGCCAAACAAACACAAUGCACGGAGUGGAUCAGAUCAAUGGAGGGCACUAUAUAUUUACCUGAAGUUUGCAACCAUGACCUGCAUAUCUGGUCCCGAUUGGGAUAGGUUUAUGUCUGAUUUCAACAUGCAAGGUGGUGAUGUUUUCAUUUUUAAGCUCAGUUCGAAUGCUAAUGAUCAUGGUUAAAAUUACGCCAUGCGAUAAUGUAGGGAGCAGUAAAGGAAUUGAACUUGGUGGUGAUUCAUCAGGAGAUACUGCUGUUGAAACCCCUAUCAUUACUUUCAGCUAGUGUCUGUUUUCUUUCGGAAUGUGUAUUUUGAUUUCUUGUAAUACUUUGUAAUCAGCAGGCAUCUUACUUGAA